AAGUCACAGGGUCCCAGAGGUGGAAGCAGCCCAAGUGUCCGAGGACAGACAGAAAAACAAAAUGUGAUCCGUCCAAACAAUGGACUAUUAUUCAGCCUUUUUCUUUUUUUGUCUUUUCUAGGGCCACACCUGCGGCAUAUGUAGAUUCUCAGGCUAGGGGUCUCAUCGGAGCUGUAGCCAACGGUCUACACCACAGCUAUAGCAAUGCAGGAUCUGAGCCACAUCUGCGACCUACACCACAGCUCACGGCAACACCAGAUCCUCAACCCACUGAGUAAGGCCAGGGAUCGAACCCGCAACCUCAUGGUUCCUAGUCAGAUACGUUAACCACUGCGCCACAAUGGGAACGCCAAUGCAGCCUUUUUCUGACACCUGCUGCAAUGUGGAUGAACCUUGGGGACGCUCUGCCCAGGGAAAUGAGCCAGUCUCAAAGGACCAACGCUGUGAUUCCACUUACGUGAGGUCCUGAGAGCCCUCAGGUUCACAGACAGUAGGAAGAAUGGGUGCCAGGGUCUGGGGGGUUCGUGAUGAACGGGGACAGGGUUUGUUUUAUGAGUUUUGGAGAUGAUGGCGGUGAAUGUACUUAGCACCACUGAACCGGACGCUUGGUAAUGGUUAACGUGGCCGAGUUUAUGUUACCUAUAUUUUACCACAAUAAAAACAAUGGGAGGGAAAAAAAAAUCCUACGUAUGAACUUUCGGGGCAACCCACGCACAAGGCUCUAUCCUAGGCUUGGCCGAGGCCUUUGCUCCUCUCACUGGACUUCAACCUUCGCUCCAGAGCGGCCACCGCGGCAGCCUGCCAUCCCUGCCCGGCCCCUGGGCAGGACGCAGGCAGGAUGGAUGCCAUCUGAGCCUCCCGCAGGGGCCAGGCUCCUGCAGGUAACGGGAGCCAUGUCCUGGCAGCUCAGACCAUGAACUGAUACUCUAGGCCCCAGGGAGGAGGCCAAGCAACGGGGUUUUCCUGGAGAUGACAGCCCCUGGACAAGGUCGUGCCCGGUGGGGACAGCAUGGGUGGUAAGUCCCACACCAGGGGACAGCCCACUGGGUUCCUUUUCCUUUCACUUUCAGUCCUUUUUUUUUUUUUUUUUUUUUUUGCUGAGCUCAUAGCCUGGGGACGUCCCUGGGCCAGGGAUUGAACCCAAGCCACAGCAGUGCUAAUGCCGUGUCCUUAACCACAAAGCCACCAGGCAGGUCCUGUUCACGUCUUCACUUUACUGGCACUUAGCCAGCAUGGAUUCUUCUCCUGUGUGCCAAGAAGUGCAAAGCCGAUGACCAGCAGCCCCAGCCAAGUUCCUUUGCUCCUCUAGCAUCUAGAAGGUUGCCUCCAGUGUGGGUGGAGGUCUCAGGUUUUGGGGUUCGUCACAUGGAGCCCCUGCCUAGGCUUGGGGACCCUUACCCUCACCAAGGACGCUCCUGGUCCUGCCUGCUCCGCAAGAAGUGUCCCAUCUUUGGAAAUCUCUCCGGAAGCUUCCCAGGGCUGGUCUUCCUCCGCUUGAAGCCGGACUCCCGCCCCCUCUGCUACGUUCAGGAGGCGGACGCCGAAACAGCCUGGCUGCGUUCGAGUCUCAGAUUCAUGGGACUCUCGCGGGUGAAAAUAGUUGCAGAAGCGGGAAGUCAGGACAAGCGUGCUGUUGAUCCGGAAGAAGUGAAGUCACAAGGCUCUCCUUGUUACCUCGCCAGCGGGGGCAGGGGCUCUCUGUCCGGGAGGGAGCCGGUAACAAAGCCGCCCUUCUCUGCAUCUGAUGACAAGCCUCACCAUUGCCUAACCUGCCGGGCGAGAAAACCCAGCGUGUGUCCACCGCGCCCUCCCCGCACCCAGCUCCCAGCCCAUCGUUCCUUCCUGCCAGCUACACCCACGCGGGCCCGGCCCCCUCUUACCGCAGCUGUCCCCCGGCUCCAGCCGCCUCACUCUGCAAACAUGCCCCGUGUUAGCGGAUUUGUGGGCGAGGAUGGGAGUCAGAGGAGCUAAAUCCCACUGCAGGAUGUUCAAAUACCUUCAGGGUUGCAGAUGCAUCUGGAGCGGUGACGUCAACCCCGGCCUCCGCCGGGACUGCUGCGGGGCUGGCAUUCCAGGCGUGUUGGGAGACAGACUUGUCCUGGCUGCCGCCGUCAGCUGGUGGGCCCCUCCCCUGUCCUGGACAGGGGAUUUCUGGUCCUCAGGGGACCCGGGGCUCUGGGAUCAGGCCUCAGCCCAGCAGGGUUGGAAGACAGUGGAUGAGUUUGCAACUGCAGCGUCCCCAGCGACACUUCUUCCCCUUUGGUCCUUAGCAUUAACCCCCAAGUUCUGGGUUCUUGGCCAUUGAGAAUGAAGACUGCAUCCCGGCUCAGCUCAGGUCAGGAGCACAAGGAAGGUGGGGGCACUGUGGCAGAUUUCCAGCCCUUUCCUAGAUGCCCCGAGGCUCGGGGCGCAGGGCCCAGACCCCUCCCUAGGCCCACCCCGGGCUAUGUCCCGCCUGCCCACCCCCCGCCCCUGGGGCUGUGGCUCGCAGCUGACUCAGCCUGGUUAAACCAGUAGGAAGGACCCAGGAAUCCCAAGACUAAUUAGGAUCAAGUGUAGAAAUGCAGGGUGACGAGAACCCAGUAAGUCAGCCAGUCACCAGGGACAAGUACCAGAAAAAUGACUAAAACGCCCUCCUGCCAACCCAGGAGAUGAACUUGACAAAUGAACCAGCCUUAAGACAGAAAGAGCCCCACAUCGCAAGGGACCUGCGAGACUGAGCCUCCCGUCCGGGGCCACGGGGACACAGCCAUCCCUCGGGUGGGCUUUGUGGUGUGGAAUCCGGAGGCGGCUGGCGGCAGCCUGUCGCCUCCAGGAAUCCAAGGGCCAGGCACUCCUUUCCAGUGGCCCAGUUUCCCAGAGGCGCUCCAGGCCCUAGAGGCAUCACCCCGCGGCUGGGAGACAGCGGGGGCGGGAAGGUCAGGAGGGCAGCCGCGAGUUUGGAUCUGGAGGUGGAGUCGGGAGCAGCAACGGCCAGAGCCUCUCGGGCCUGGACAGACUCAGCUGUCACCUGACCUGAGCCCAGCUCCCCAUUUAGAGCCUUCAAGGGGGAGCCACCAGAGUGGGGGCCCUCCCAGCCCUAAGGAGGGGUGCCCAGAGAGCAGGAGGGUCUAGACCAGGAGAGGGGACGGGUGGCCUGGCUCAGAGACCAGUUAACUCACGAUAUGGGCUGAGGACACCCAAAUAAGGUCCCCUCUGAGGCUCUGGGUGGACGUGAAUAGAGGGGACACGGCUCAACCCAGGGUGGCCCCUUCUACUGUCCACCUCCAACUCGGUCUAUAAGGACAGAGCGCUGGGCCAGGACCCGCUGAGCCACUUUGAGCCUCAGGUCCCACACCUGCUCAACAAGACAGGAACAGGGCAUGUUCAUGGGCCCUUCUGGGAAACGCUUGGGACCAAGUGGCUUCGGAAGUAGAAUUCUCCUGCCCUUGGAAAAGGAACUCAGGGCCCUUCCAAAGAGUCCCUCGCAUCCGCGGACAAAAGAAUGUUAACCCACUGUUAAGCCAUCAGCCUCUGAGACUCCCAGACAGUGCGCCCCGGGGGAACUCAGGAGGCAGAGAAACAGGACGGGGCCGGAGAG
rnacentral:lncRNA from 1 species